rnacentral:rRNA from 1 species
GACGAACGCUGGCGGCGUGCUUAACACAUGCAAGUCGAACGGAAAGGCCCUGCUUUUGUGGGGUGCUCGAGUGGCGAACGGGUGAGUAACACGUGAGUAACCUGCCCUUGACUUUGGGAUAACUUCAGGAAACUGGGGCUAAUACCGGAUAGGAGCUCCUGCUGCAUGGUGGGGGUUGGAAAGUUUCGGCGGUUGGGGAUGGACUAGCGGCUUAUCAGCUUGUUGGUGGGGUAGUGGCUUACCAAGGCUUUGACGGGUAGCCGGCCUGGGAGGGUGACCGGCCACAUUGGGACUGAGAGACGGCCCAGAAUCCUACGGGAGGCAGCAGGGGGGAAUAUUGCACAAUGGGCGGACGCCUGAUGCAGCAACGCCGCGUUCGGGAUGACGGCCUUCGGGUUGUAAACCGCUUUCGCCUGUGACGAAGCGUGAGUGACGGUAAUGGGUAAAGAAGCACCGGCUAACUACGUG